rnacentral:rRNA from 1 species
GACGAACGCUGGCGGCGUGCUUAACACAUGCAAGUCGAACGGAAAGGCCCUGCUUUUGUGGGGUGCUCGAGUGGCGAACGGGUGAGUAACACGUGAGUAACCUGCCCUUGACUUUGGGAUAACUUCAGGAAACUGGGGCUAAUACCGGAUAGGAGCUCCUGCUGCAUGGUGGGGGUUGGAAAGUUUCGGCGGUUGGGGAUGGACUCGCGGCUUAUCAGCUUGUUGGUGGGGUAGUGGCUUACCAAGGCUUUGACGGGUAGCCGGCCUGAGAGGGUGACCGGCCACAUGGGAACUAGGUUCCGGCCCGGACUCCUACGGAGGGAAGAGGUGGGAAUUAUUGAACAAGGGGCGGAGGCCUGUGGCGGCACCCCGGCGGGGGGAAUAACGGCCUUCGGUUGGAAACCGCUUUCGCCUGUGACGAAGCGUGAGUGACGGUAAUGGGUAAAGAAGCACCGGCUAACUACGUG